rnacentral:rRNA from 1 species
CAGACGAUGCGUCAUGCAUAUCAAUAAGCGGAGGAAAAGAAACUAACAAGGAUUCCCUUAGUAACGGCGAGUGAAGCGGGAAGAGCUCAAAUUUGAAAUCUUCAAGGUUUUACCUUGACGAAUUGUAGUUUAAAGAAGUGUUUUCUGUUGAAGUUUUGGUAAAAGUUCUUUGGAAUAGGACAUCAUAGAGGGUGAGAAUCCCGUAUUUGACCAUUAUUUUCAGCUGUGUGAUACACUUUCAAAGAGUCGGAUUGUUUGGGAAUGCAGUCCAAAAUGGGUGGUAAAUUUCAUCUAAAGCUAAAUAUUGGCGAGAGACCGAUAGCGAACAAGUACCGUGAGGGAAAGAUGAAAAGAACUUUGAAAAGAGAGUUAAACAGUACGUGAAAUUGUCAAAAGGGAAGCGUUUGACACCAGUGUUGUUUUCUCGAAAAUCAAUUAAAAAGAGUUAGAUUUUGUUGUGUAUUGACCUUAACAGCUUGCAUUUCAAUUUUCUUGCUUUUUUUAAUGCACUUUUCGUUUAACAAGUCAACAUCAGUUUCUUUUGUUGUAAAAAGGUCAUUGGAAGGUGGCUUUCUUUUCGGAGAAAGUGUUUAUAGCCUUUGACUCCUGCAAUCGGAGAGACUGAGGUCUGCAGCGUAGAUCCUUCGGGGUUAGAUACAUUUGUGCUAAGUUAUAGCUUUUUAUAGACAACUUGUUGACUAUGAUUAGUCUUGUAGCUUACUCGCUUAUGCUAUUUUACCUACGCUUAGGAUGUUGAGUCGUAGAGCACGCAG